GAUGAAGAACGCAGCGAAAUGCGAUACGUAAUGUGAAUUGCAGAAUUCAGUGAAUCAUCGAAUCUUUGAACGCAUAUUGCGCUCUCUGGUAUUCCGGAGAGCAUGCUUGUUUGAGUAUCAGUAAACACCUCAACUUCCAUAUCUUUUUUGAAAUGGGAGUUGGACUUGAGUGAUCCCAACGCUUUUCCUCACCGAAAAGUGGCGGGUUACUUGAAAUGCAGGUGCAUCUGGACUUUUCUCUGAGCUAUAAGCAUAUCUAUUUAGUCUGCCUAAAAAACAGAUUAUUACCUAUGCUGCAGCUAACAUAAAGGAGAUUAGUUCUUGUGCUGACUGAUGCAGGAUUCACAAAGACAGGCUUCGGCCGACUUUGUAAACUCGAUCUCAAAUCAAGUAAGACUACCCGCUGAACUUAAGCAUAUCAAUAAGCGGAGGA
rnacentral:misc_RNA from 1 species